UCAGUUUCAGUGCUACUUGAUUGGUAAGUUAUAAGUUUCGUACUUCAAACAAAUGAUUACAAUGUCUUUAAUUUUAUGUUUCAGGAAGAGUUGGACAAAAACAUCAACAAUGCUAAGGAUGCGAAAAAGACAUUCGACUUUAGAACAAAUGCAACGUGUUUAAAAAAUUGUUCCCCCGCUGGGAGAUGAGGCGUAACAAUGGAACACCAGCAUCAUCAGGGAUUCAAUAAAAAUGCUGGCGACAGUUGGAUUUCUGGAAGAAUUAUUGUUAUACUAUAUUAUCUGCUCUGGUCAAGAAUCUACUGGCCUCCCUAAAGCACUGGGUUGAAAAAAUCCGUGUUAAAUUUUGUCAAGAGGAUUUACUAACGACAUCCGAAUGACCGUCAAAUGUGCUUUGGAUUUCCAAGGAAAAGCGCUAUAUGGUGCUGCAUCCAGUUCCUCAGGGUUCACCGGAAUGUUUCUAUGCCCGAAAAAAAGCGCAGGCCGUAAACCAGCAUACAGAAAUUCUCAACUGGAAACGACAGAUCCUAAACACAGCUGGACGGAAAUCGGAGCUCUAUUUACAUUUAAAAAUUAAAACUGAAACGGGAGUGGAGAUUGAAAAAAGAUUCCGUUGGACUCAUCGGCGAAUUGAGCUACCGUAAUACUGGCGCAAGAUUCGUGCACCGGGAAUGUAUUACUAUAGCAGGGGAGAAAACAGCAGUAACGGAGCUGGAGCAGGCGGAGUCCCGCAACCGAAUACAAACUACGCCACGCGUGUUCCGUGCUCCCGUGCAGUGUUCCGAUUUUCAAAG